GGAGAAUUGAGGGGGGCUGCUCCUAGUACGAGAGGACCGGAGUGGACGCAUCACUGGUGUUCGGGUUGUCAUGCCAAUGGCACUGCCCGGUAGCUAAAUGCGGAAGAGAUAAGUGCUGAAAGCAUCUAAGCACGAAACUUGCCCCGAGAUGAGUUCUCCCUGAGACCUUGAGUCUCCUGAAGGAACGUUAAAGACGAUGACGUUGAUAGGUCGGGUGUGUAAGCGCAGCGAUGCGUUGAGCUAACCGAUACUAAUGAACCGUGAGGCUUAACCUU
rnacentral:rRNA from 1 species